GUGAAUCAUCAAAUUUUUGAACGCAAAUUGCACUCUCUGGUAUUCCGGAGAGUAUGCCUGUUUGAGGGUCAGUUUAAAUAAAAAUCUGUGUGGUCUCUGCCUUUCGUGGGGACGCGCCGGAGUGGGGUCGUGUUGCCUUCGAGUAAGUGACCUAAAAUUUUGCAUGAUUGUUCGGACGUAUUUAAAUGAUUUUGCGUACGUUUUCGAUAUCGAA
rnacentral:misc_RNA from 1 species